ACGUAGGGUGCAAGCGUUAAUCGGAAUUACUGGGCGUACAGCGCACGCAGGUGGCCUGGCAAGUGUGGUGUGAAAGCCCCGCGCUUAACGCGGGGAGGCCAGCACAGACUGCCAAGCUGGAGGGGUGCAGAGGGUAGGGGAAUUGCCGGUGUAGUGGUGAAAUGCGUAGAGAUCGGCAGGAACACCAAGGACGAAGGUACCUACCUGGGCACCACCUGACACUCAUGUGCGACCGCGUGGGGAGCGAACCGGAUUAGAUACCCGGGUAGUCCACGCCGUAAACGA
rnacentral:rRNA from 1 species